UACGAAGGGGGCUAGCGUUGCUCGGAAUCACUGGGCGUAAAGCGCACGUAGGCGGAUCUUUAAGUCAGGGGUGAAAUCCUGGAGCUCAACUCCAGAACUGCCUUUGAUACUGGGGAUCUCGAGUCCGGGAGAGGUGAGUGGAGCUCCGAGUGUAGAGGUGAAAUUCGUAGAUAUUCGGAAGAACACCAGUGGCGAAGGCGGCUCACUGGCCCGGUACUGACGCUGAGGUGCGAAAGCGUGGGGAGCAAACAGG
rnacentral:rRNA from 1 species